rnacentral:rRNA from 1 species
AUUGAACGCUGGCGGCAGGCCUAACACAUGCAAGUCGAACGAGUGGCGGACGGGUGAGUAAUGUCUGGGAAACUGCCUGAUGGAGGGGGAUAACUACUGGAAACGGUAGCUACUACCGCAUACGAUCAGUUGUGCCCGGAGGGGAUUAGCUGGUUGGUGGGGUAACGGCUCACCAAGGCGACGAUGCCUAGCUGGUCUGAGAGGAUGACCAGCCACACUGGAACUGAGACACGGUCCAGACUCCUACGGGAGGCAGCAGUGGGGAAUAUUGGGCAAUGGGCGCAAGCCUGAUGGAGCAAUGCCGCGGGUAUGAAGAAGGUCUUCGGGUUGUAAAGCACUUUUAGCGGGGAGGCGGUACCCGCAGAGGAAGCACCGGCUAACUCCGUGCCAGCAGCCGCGGUAAUAC